rnacentral:rRNA from 1 species
AGCCCAGAGCCUGAAUCAGUGUGUGUGUUAGUGGAAGCGUCUGGAAAGGCGCGCGAUACAGGGUGACAGCCCCGUACACAAAAAUGCACAUGCUGUGAGCUCGAUGAGUAGGGCGGGACACGUGGUAUCCUGUCUGAAUAUGGGGGGACCAUCCUCCAAGGCUAAAUACUCCUGACUGACCGAUAGUGAACCAGUACCGUGAGGGAAAGGCGAAAAGAACCCCGGCGAGGGGAGUGAAAAAGAACCUGAAACCGUGUACGUACAAGCAGUGGGAGCACGCUUAGGCGUGUGACUGCGUACCUUUUGUAUAAUGGGUCAGCGACUUAUAUUCUGUAGCAAGGUUAACCGAAUAGGGGAGCCGAAGGGAAACCGAGUCUUAACUGGGCGUUAAGUUGCAGGGUAUAGACCCGAAACCCGGUGAUCUAGCCAUGGGCAGGUUGAAGGUUGGGUAACACUAACUGGAGGACCGAACCGACUAAUGUUGAAAAAUUAGCGGAUGACUUGUGGCUGGGGGUGAAAGGCCAAUCAAACCGGGAGAUAGCUGGUUCUCCCCGAAAGCUAUUUAGGUAGCGCCUCGUGAA